CCUACGGGUGGCUGCAGUGGGGAAUAUUGGACAAUGGGCGCAAGCCUGAUCCAGCAAUGCCGCGUGUGUGAAGAAGGCCUGCGGGUUGUAAAGCACUUUGAGUGGGGAAGAAGGCCUGGGGGUUAAUAGCUUCUGGGAUUGACGUUACCCACACAACAAGCACCGGCUAACUCCGUGCCAGCAGCCGCGGUAAUACGGAGGGUGCUAGCGUUAAUCAGAAGUACUGAGCGGAUAGCGCGAGUCUGCGGUUAAAGCCCUGGGCUUAACCUGGGAACUGCAUUGGAUACUGUUUGACUGGAGUGUGGUAGAGGGGUGUGGAAUUUCCGGUGUAGCAGUGAAAUGCGUAGAGAUCGGAAGGAACACCAGUGGCGAAGGCGGCACCCUGGACCGACACUGACGCUGAGGUGCGAAAGCGUGGGGAGCAAACAGGAUUAGAUACCCCGGUAGUC
rnacentral:rRNA from 1 species